UACGUAGGGGGCAAGCGUUGUCCGGAAUCAUUGGGCGUAAAGCGCGUGUAGGCGGCCUUGUAAGUCCGUUCUGAAAGCCCGGGGCUCAACCCCGGGAGGCGGAUGGAUACUGCAAGGCUCGAGUACGGAAGAGGCGAGUGGAAUUCCCGGUGUAGCGGUGAAAUGCGCAGAUAUCGGGAGGAACACCAAUGGCGAAGGCGGCUCGCUGGACCGGUUCUGACGCUGAGGCGCGAAAGCGUGGGGAGCAAACGGG
rnacentral:rRNA from 1 species